GCCUUCCUGAGAGGUGAUCUCCAGCCUGUAUUUAGGUUGAGAAAAAGGAGGUUUGAAGAAAUCUCUCAGGAAGAGACUUUCCAUCACAUACAGGUAUCACCAUCACAGGCAGAUGAAACAAAUAUUUUGUUCCUGCAGCCUGCACUGGAGAAGUCAGUGGUUCAGUCUCCACAAAAAUAGGUGUUGUUUGAGGGGUAGCAACAUCAGGCCAAAGUCCGUGUCAUGAUGGACCUAAAGACUGUCAGUCAGUGGUGUGUUGAGCACUCUAAUGACCUCAGUGGUUCAGUUCAGCUGCCUCAGAUUCUUUGUAUGAAGGAUGAAGAAGUUGCUGAGGCCCUGGACAGGUUCUUCAGUGCAGAGUUCGUGUAUCAUGAUGCUGUAGAGCCAUUGAUGUUUGUUUUUACAUUUAUGCAGGACAUGCAUACAUUUCUGGAGCAUGUUGUUGACCGAAUGAAACUAAGGAUC